rnacentral:rRNA from 1 species
GUACGUUGACUCCGUGGCUACGAGGACGACGCUGGCGGCGUGCCUAAUACAUGCAAGUCGAGCGGACUAAUAGGUUCUUCGGAACCUGUUGGUUAGCGGCGGACGGGUGAGUAACACGUAGGCAACCUGCCCGUAAGACUGGGAUAACUACCGGAAACGGUAGCUAAUACCGGAUACGCAAAUUCCUCGCAUGGGGGAUUUGGGAAAGGCGGAGCAAUCUGUCACUUACGGAUGGGCCUGCGGCGCAUUAGCUAGUUGGUGGGGUAACGGCUCACCAAGGCGACGAUGCGUAGCCGACCUGAGAGGGUGAACGGCCACACUGGGACUGAGACACGGCCCAGACUCCUACGGGAGGCAGCAGUAGGGAAUCUUCCGCAAUGGACGAAAGUCUGACGGGAGCAACGCCGCGUGAGUGAAGAAGGUUUUCGGAUCGUAAAGCUCUGUUGCCAGGGAAGAACGUCCUCUAGAGUAACUGCUAGGGGAGUGACGGUACCUGAGAAGAAAGCCCCGGCUAACUACGUG